ACGAGACACGUGAAACCUUGUGGGAAGCAGGGAGGACCACCUCCCAAGGCUAAAUACUACCUGAUGACCGAUAGUGAAGCAGUACCGUGAGGGAAAGGUGAAAAGAACCCCGGGAGGGGAGUGAAAUAGAACCUGAAACCGUGUGCCUACAACCGCUCAGAGCCCCUUAUGAGGGUGAUGAGGUGCUUUUUGUAGAACGAGCCAACGAGUUACGGUAUGUAGCAAGGUUAAGUACUUAAGGUACGGAGCCGAAGGGAAACCGAGUCUGAAUAGGGCGACUAGUUGCAUGCCGUAGACCCGAAACCGGGUGACCUAUCCAUGGCCAGGUUGAAGCGAGGGUAAAACCUCGUGGAGGACCGAACCACGUUGCUGUUGAAAAAGCAUGGGAUGAGCUGUGGAUAGCGGAGAAAUUCCAAUCGAACCCGGAGAUAGCUGGUUCUCUCCGAAAUAGCUUUAGGGCUAGCGUCGAGUAUGAGUAGUGGAGGUAGAGCACUGAAUGGGCUAGGGGGCAUAGCGCUUACCGAACCUUAUCAAACUCCGAAUGCCACAUACUUUGAGCUCGGCAGUCAGACUACGAAUGAUAAGAUCCGUGGUCAAAAGGGAAACAGCCCAGAUCGUCAGCUAAGGUCCCAAAGUGUAAGUUAAGUGGGAAAGGAUGUGAGAUUUCUAAGACAACUAGGAUGUUGGCUUAGAAGCAGCCAUUCAUUAAAAGAGUGCGUAAUAGCUCACUAGUCGAGAGAUCUUGCGCCGAAAAUGUAACGGGGCUAAACUUAC
rnacentral:rRNA from 1 species